rnacentral:rRNA from 1 species
AUGGCGACCGGCGUACGGGUGAGUAACGCGUAUCCAACCUGCCCUUUACUAUGGGACAGCCCGUCGAGAGGCGGAUUAAUACCGUAUGUUGUCAUGUUGAUGCAUAUUUUCAUGACCAAAGGCUUCGGCCGGUAAAGGAUGGGGAUGCGUCUGAUUAGCUUGCCGGCGGGGUAACGGCCCACCGGGGCGACGAUCAGUAGGGGUUCUGAGAGGAAGGUCCCCCACAUUGGAACUGAGACACGGUCCAAACUCCUACGGAAGGCAGCAG